GACGAACGCUGGCGGCGUGCCUAAUACAUGCAAGUAGAACGCACAGUUUAUACCGUAGCUUGCUACACCAUACACUGUGAGUUGCGAACGGGUGAGUAACGCGUAGGUAACCUGCCUGGUAGCGGGGGAUAACUAUUGGAAACGAUAGCUAAUACCGCAUAAUAUUGAUUAUUGCAUGAUAAUUGAUUGAAAGAUGCUAUUGCGUCACUACCAGAUGGACCUGCGUUGUAUUAGCUAGUAGGUGAGGUAACGGCUCACCUAGGCGACGAUACAUAGCCGACCUGAGAGGGUGAUCGGCCACACUGGGACUGAGACACGGCCCAGACUCCUACGGGAGGCAGCAGUAGGGAAUCUUCGGCAAUGGACGAAAGUCUGACCGAGCAACGCCGCGUGAGUGAAGAAGGUUUUCGGAUCGUAAAGCUCUGUUGUAAGAGAAGAACGGGUGUGAGAGUGGAAAGUUCACACUGUGACGGUAGCUUACCAGAAAGGGACGGCUAACUACGUG
rnacentral:rRNA from 1 species